rnacentral:sRNA from 1 species
UUAAGAGACGCUGGUCUCCUCCGGCGUGAAGAUUGGAUUUGGGUUGGGACUGGGAAGUCUCGCUAAAGGGUGAAUCAUGUUUAAGAAGGUCAACAAGAUUGAGCACAAGAGGAAUAAGACAGAAAAACCAAAAAGCUUAAUCCAUGGAUUCCACGCAUGUUCAACCACAAAUGCUUUGUCACCUUCCUUACUGGCUGCUAUAGUUGCCUCUGGAAAUUCAGACAAUGGGAAAAAACUAAAGUUGGAUUUUGUUGCUGCACUUGGGUACAGACUGAUAAGGAGCUGGACCACAUUUUCUCAGAUGUGGGGAGCAUAGGCUGACCGCUGGCCCCAUGAGGGCUCUUUACGGUCUCCAGGACUGGGGAUGCUAGGGCUCCAUUUCUUCCAUAAAAGUAUUGCACCAAUGUUAAACUUACUGAAACAUGUACUUACUUUCUUCAUUUUCUUUCCUUCACUUCAUUUUUCACUUUUAUUCUUUACUUUUCCUUACUACCUCUUUUAUGUUUAUUCAUUAAUUCACUUUUGCAUUUAUUCAUUCAGUGAAUCUUGAAGAAAAAG